GACGAACGCUGGCGGCGUGCUUAACACAUGCAAGUCGAACGGAAAGGCCCUGCUUUUGUGGGGUGCUCGAGUGGCGAACGGGUCAGUCACACGAGAGUCACCUGACCUUGACUUUGGGAUCAUUUCAGGAAACUGGGGAUACUACGGGUUAGGAGCUCCUGCUGUAUGGUGGGGGUUGGAAAGUUUCGGCGGAUGGGGAUGGACUUGCGGAUUAUCAGGUUGUUGGUGGGGUAGUGGCUUACCAAGGCUUUGACGGGUGGGCGGCCUGAAAGGGUGACCGGCCACAUUGGGACGGAGAUACGGCCAAGACUCCGACGGGAGGCAGCAGUGGGGAAUAUUGCACAAUGGGCGGAAGCCUGAUGCAGCAACGCCGCGUGCGGGAUGACGGCCUUCGGGUGGUAAACCGCUUGCGCCUGUGACGAAGCGUGAGUGACGGUAAUGGGUAAAGAAGCACCGGCUAACUACGUG
rnacentral:rRNA from 1 species